rnacentral:rRNA from 1 species
GGGUUGUGAGGUUAAGCGACUAAGCGUACACGGUGGAUGCCCUGGCAGUCAGAGGCGAUGAAGGACGUGCUAAUCUGCGAAAAGCGUCGGUAAGGUGAUAUGAACCGUUAUAACCGGCGAUGUCCGAAUGGGGAAACCCAGUGCAAUUCGUUGCACUAUCGUUAACUGAAUACAUAGGUUAACGAGGCGAACCGGGGGAACUGAAACAUCUAAGUACCCCGAGGAAAAGAAAUCAACCGAGAUUCCCCCAGUAGCGGCGAGCGAACGGGGAGCAGCCCAGAGUCUGAAUCAGCUUGUGUGUUAGUGGAACGGUCUGGAAAGUCCGACGGUACAGGGUGAUAGUCCCGUACACCAAAAUGCACAGGCUGUGAACUCGAAGAGUAGGGCGGGACACGUGGUAUCCUGUCUGAAUAUGGGGGGACCAUCCUCCAAGGCUAAAUACUCCUGACUGACCGAUAGUGAACCAGUACCGUGAGGGAAAGGCGAAAAGAACCCCGGCGAGGGGAGUGAAAAAGAACCUGAAACCGUGUACGUACAAGCAGUGGGAGCACCUUCGGGUGUGACUGCGUACCUUUUUGUAUAAUGGGUCAGCGACUUAUAUUCUGUAGCAAGGUUAACCGUAUAGGGGAGCCGCAGGGAAACCGAGUCUUAACUGGGCGUUAAGUUGCAGGGUAUAGACCCGAAACCCGGUGAUCUAGCCAUGGGCAGGUUGAAGGUUGGGUAACACUAACUGGAGGACCGAACCGACUAAUGUUGAAAAAUUAGCGGAUGACUUGUGGCUGGGGGUGAAAGGCCAAUCAAACCGGGAGAUAGCUGGUUCUCCCCGAAAGCUAUUUAGGUAGCGCCUCGUGAAUUCAUCUUCGGGGGUAGAGCACUGUUUCGGCUAGGGGGUCAUCCCGACUUACCAACCCGAUGCAAACUACGAAUACCGAAGAAUGUUAUCACGGGAGACACACGGCGGGUGCUAACGUCCGUCGUGAAGAGGGAAACAACCCAGACCGCCAGCUAAGGUCCCAAAGUCAUGGUUAAGUGGGAAACGAUGUGGGAAGGCACAGACAGCCAGGAUGUUGGCUUAGAAGCAGCCAUCAUUUAAAGAAAGCGUAAUAGCUCACUGGUCGAGUCGGCCUGCGCGGAAGAUGUAACGGGGCUAAACCAUGCACCGAAGCUGCGGCAGCGACACUAUGUGUUGUUGGGUAGGGGAGCGUUCUGUAAGCCUGCGAAGGUGCUGUGAGGGCUGGAGGUAUCAGAAGUGCGAAUGCUGACAUAAGAACGAUAAAGCGGGUGAAAAGCCCGCUCGCCGGAAGACCAAGGGUUCCUGUCCAACGUUAAUCGGGGCAGUGAGUCGACCCCUAAGGCGAGGCCGAAAGGCGUAGUCGAUGGGAAACAGGUUAAUAUUCCUGUACUUGGUGUUACUGCGAAGGGGGACGGAGAAGGCUAUGUUAGCCGGGCGACGGUUGUCCGGUUUAAGCAUGUAGGCUGGUUAUCCAGGCAAAUCCGGAUAAUCAAGGCUGAGGUGUGAUGACGAGGCACUACG